UGCCUAAAACAUAGCAUUAAUGCAUUAGAUCCCAUUAGAACUCUACAGUUAAGUGCGCUUAGGAUAGAGUAGUACUGGGAUGGGUCACCGCUCGGGAAGUCCUAGUUUUUUACAUGC
rnacentral:rRNA from 1 species